AUGAACGCUGGCGGCGUGCCUAAUACCUGCAAGUCGAGCGAACAGACGAGGAGCUUGCUCCUCUGACGUUAGCGGCGGACGGGUGAGUAACACGUGGAUAACCUACCUAUAAGACUGGGAUAACUUCGGGAAACCGGAGCUAAUACCGGAUAAUAUAUUGAACCGCAUGGUUCAAUAGUGAAAGACGGUUUUGCUGUCACUUAUAGAUGGAUCCGCGCCGCAUUAGCUAGUUGGUAAGGUAACGGCUUACCAAGGCAACGAUGCGUAGCCGACCUGAGAGGGUGAUCGGCCACACUGGAACUGAGACACGGUCCAGACUCCGACGGGAGGCAGCAGUAGGGAAUCUUCCGCAAUGGGCGAAAGCCUGACGGAGCAACGCCGCGUGAGUGAUGAAGGUCUUCGGAUCGUAAAACUCUGUUAUUAGGGAAGAACAAAUGUGUAAGUAACUAUGCACGUCUUGACGGUACCUAAUCAGAAAGCCACGGCUAACUACGU
rnacentral:rRNA from 1 species